rnacentral:rRNA from 1 species
GACGAACGCUGGCGGCGUGCUUAACACAUGCAAGUCGAACGGUGAAAGCGGAGCUUGCUCCGCUGGAUCAGUGGCGAACGGGUGAGUAACACGUGGGCAACCUGCCCCUCACUUCGGGAUAACUCCGGGAAACCGGGGCUAAUACCGGAUAUGACCUCCUUGGGCAUCCUUGGAGGUGGAAAGUUUUUCGGUGAGGGAUGGGCCCGCGGCCUAUCAGCUUGUUGGUGAGGUAGUGGCUAACCAAGGCGACGACGGGUAGCCGGCCUGAGAGGGCGACCGGCCACACUGGUACGGAGACACGGCCCAGACUCCUACGGGAGGCAGCAGUGGGGAAUAUUGCGCAAUGGGCGAAAGCCUGACGCAGCAACGCCGCGUGCGGGAUGACGGCCUUCGGGUUGUAAACCGCUUUCAGCAGGGAAGAAGCCGCAAGGUGACGGUACCUGCAGAAGAAGCACCGGCUAACUACGUGCCAGCAGCCGCAGUAA